AUUGAACGCUGGCGGCAGGCCUAACACAUGCAAGUCGAGCGGAUGAAGGGAGCUUGCUCCUGGAUUCAGCGGCGGACGGGUGAGUAAUGCCUAGGAAUCUGCCUGGUAGUGGGGGAUAACGUCCGGAAACGGGCGCUAAUACCGCAUACGUCCUGAGGGAGAAAGUGGGGGAUCUUCGGACCUCACGCUAUCAGAUGAGCCUAGGUCGGAUUAGCUAGUUGGUGGGGUAAAGGCCUACCAAGGCGACGAUCCGUAACUGGUCUGAGAGGAUGAUCAGUCAAACUGGAACUGGGACACGGUCCAGACUCCUACGGGAGGCAGCAGUUGGGAAUAUUGGACAAUGGGCGAAAGCCUGAUCCAGCCAUGCCGCGUGUGUGAAGAAGGUCUUCGGAUUGUAAAGCACUUUAAGUUGGGAGGAAGGGCAGUAAGUUAAUACCUUGCUGUUUUGACGUUACCAACAGAAUAAGCACCGGCUAACUUCGUG
rnacentral:rRNA from 1 species